GAUGAAGAACGUAGCGAAAUGCGGUAAGUAAUGUGAAUUGCAGAAUUCAGUGAAUCAUCGAAUCUUUGAACGCACAUUGCGCCCGCCAGUAUUCUGGCGGGCAUGCCUGUUCGAGCGUCAUUUCAACCAUCAAGCCCCCGGCUUGUGUUGGGGACCUGCGGCUGCCGCAGGCCCUGAAAAGCAGUGGCGGGCUCGCUGUCACACCGAGCGUAGUAGCAUACAUCUCGCUCUGGGCGUGCUGCGGGUUCCGGCCGUUAAACCACCUUCAUAACCCAAGGUUGACCUCGGAUCAGGUAGGAAGACCCGCUGAACUUAAGCAUAUCAAUAAGCGGAGGA
rnacentral:misc_RNA from 1 species